UGACGGGAAAGGGCUGGGGAAUUUCCACUUCUGAUUUAAAUGACCGCAGAGGUGACGACCCUCAAGAAUUGGUAAGAUUUGGAGCAGAAUUCACCCGGAGUUUGGUGGGGCUUAUCUGUCAAGGAUGCAAGAGGCGCGGAGAUUACGAAACUCCCACCUGUCGCUCCGCGCCGGACGCGGAGACUGCGGCCGGAGAGUUGCUGCAUGGGGAUUGGAGGAGAGAAGCAAUCGGUCUCAGCGCGUCUCCACCUUCCUGACAGCCCCUGGUUGGAGGAGCGGAGCGUCAGUCACUGGAGCGGUCGCCACCUCUGGGACAGGAAAAGUCUGAGAAACUGUCAUAGUCAAGAGGAGCCCAAAGAGACAUGAUGACGAAAUAUAAUGUGUUAUCCUGGAUGGAAUACUGGAACAAAAAAAGGACAUGAGGAUUGUUUUGGCUAUUCUAGGUUGGCCUCUACUGUUGUUACCCCAGGAGACAAGGCCUCAUCCACACUGCCUCUUCCAAGGUGUUCAUUAUGUAGCCUACCAUAUUGAUCCUCAUCUUUUCCAACUGCACCUUGCAGUUUUCUUUCCCUCACUCUUCCACUCUAGCUAUAUGGGCCUUCUCAAAUAUUCUGAAGUCCUUCCUGCCUGAGGGCCUUUGCACUGAUAUUCCCUUGGCCAAAAAUGCUUUCCUUUCACUCCUUCUGCUCUAUUCCCAAGGCUGACUUAUUCUUGUCAUUCAGGUUUCUGCUCAAAUGUUAUCUUCAACAGAGAGGCCCUUAUUAACCCCAGUCUAAGGUAGUCACCCACGAAAACCUCUGUCUUUAUUGCAUUAUGCUGUAUAAUUGCACUUAACACUGUCUGAAAUAGUCAUAUUUAUAUCAUUGUAUUUAUUUAUUUAUUUAUUUUCUGUUUCCCCCUGCCAGAGUGGAAACUUCAGGAAAGCAGAGGUCUUGUCUUAUUUCACAUUGAAUUCCUACACAUAGGAAUAUAAUAUACACUGCCUGGCAUGUAAUAGACAUUUAAGUUGUAUUUAUCUAUUGAAUGAAUUAACAAAUUGAUCAGUCAAGCCCUGGACAGCCCCUAUAGUGGGACUCAGCACUAGGAAAAGUGGUGAACUGACCCUCACACCAGGAUUAUUUUCCUUGUACUCACCUUCUUCUCUCAUUUUCUUCCAGUCAGCAAUUCCUCCCUUCUUUUUUUCAAAGUUUUCCCCUAAAUCCUCUUCCUAAUGUCUGUCUACAUUUGAGAAGCCGAUACAGAUGCAUUCCUGGCUUCCCCAGUCUUUACUCUGGAUUGCUCUUAGGAAAAAUGACCAAAGUUGUCUCUGACCAUAGUAUAUAUGCACAAGUGCAUCUUAGGUCCAUUUGCAAAGAUAAAAAUCUUGGGAAGCAUGAGGCACUGGACACAGAGACAGAAGAACACAGAACUAAGGAGACAAGAACCCAGAACCUCAGAGAAAAUGAGAACCUCAGGCCAAGAAUCCAAGAAUUCACAUUAUGACAAUCUUUUUUUUUUUUAAGGUUUUAUUUAUUUAUUUAUUUAUUUAUUUAUUUAUUUAUUUGUCAGAGAGAGAGAGAGAGAGAGCACAAGCAGGCAGAGUGGCAGGAAGAGGCAAAGAGA